AAAGGAAUUAAGGGCGUACAGUGG
rnacentral:rRNA from 1 species